CCUAGCUCUCUGGGUGGCAUUUCCAUUGGGGAAAAAAAAGUGAUGGAAGAAUCCCCUUGAAUUAGGACUCGAGAUAAACAACAACAAAGAGGCUGGAGGGACUUUAUCCAAACAUAUGACCCUUUGGGGCUCUGAAGCAGGCCAUUUGGUGACUGGCAUAUGCAACAUCCAUUCCAAAUCCCAUGGGUGACCUUAUUAGCAAGGGGGUGGGGUUGGGGGAGGUAUGUAACCAGUAUCAACCUCAAAACAAAAUAUUUGAUCAAAGUCUUUUGUAAUGAUCUGUUAUUUCCAGUCUUUUGACUCUGCCAGAUAACCUACUCUCUCCAGAUGGAGAAACACUUUUAGAAUGUGACACAUAUCAUUUUUAGUAUGCCCACAAUUGAGACCAAAUAUUUGUGUGAAUGAGGGUAGGGAUGAGUGUGGAGAGAACAUGCUGCAUCUCCUAAUGAAUUGAAUUCGACUAAUGUAUGCCAGCGCCUGUGCUGGGUACUGGAGAUACCAAGAUAAAUGAUAUAUCUGGUGCAAACAUUCUAGUGAUGCUUCUUGUAUUGUUGGGAGGGUUUGGUUUUUGUUUUUGUUUUUUUUUUGUUUUGUUUUGUUUUGUUUUGUUUUUGUUUUUUAGUAUAACUGAGCCUGCUAAACACUCUACAAAUUGCUACCCUGCCAAAAUUCUGCCUGGGCUCAGACUAUCUCGGUGAUGGUGUUUCUCUUGUAUGCCAAGCUUGUUUUAAGAAAUUCUUCAACAGGAAUUAGGCAGGUCAAGAACUGUGAAGAAACCCAUCAGGAAUGGCAGUGUGUAAUAAGGGACAAAGGAGUUGGGAUUUGAUCCAGAUCCUCUGUCUCCAAGCACAGUCUUCAUUCUGUGGCACACAGUAGCCAACUUCAGGACACCGGUUCUGAUUGCAUGACUACAGAGAUUCAAGAGGCUCAAAAUGAACCCUGCAACCGGUUUUCGAACUCUGACAUGCCCUUGUAAUGACCCAUCCAUGCAUUGCUGGAAUAAAAGACCUAUGUAGUCCUAGAGGGUGGUCACCAUGGACCGUGGACAAGUUACUCACACUCUGGACCUAUUUCUUCACCCAUAAAAGGCUUCCUCACAGGAUGUCAUGAGGAUUAACUAGUUAGUAUAUGUAAAGCACUCAGACUACUGGCUGACAUAUUGGAAGACUCGAAUGUGUGGGUGUGAGCCUGAACCUGAAAGCUGAGUGAUCAUUUCUAAGAAGGGCUAGUAAUUAAGGUAAU